GGUACAGGGAGAACAUGCAAACUGAAGAAGAAGAAGAAGAAGAAGAAGAGGAAGGACAGAAGGGUCCAGACUGGGAUUCAAACCUGGAACCCUCUGGCUAUGAGGCAACAGUGCAAACCAUUGCAUCACCAUGCCACACCCAUCCACGUGAUUACUGCAAGCCAAGGUUUCCCCGCAGAACAUUGCAUCGUAAAGAUAGGAUUAACGUUAUUCACAUCACCUUUCAGUGAUUUUAAUGUUGUAACUGAUCAGUGUAUGUAAAGAUGAAGCGCGUCUCCGCUUCUUCCCAUUGGACAAAUGGGGAGCAGAAAUAUCCCGGACAGUAGUGCUGCUAUCAUUCACUGAUGAUGUAAUUUGGAAUCUGAUCGUGUAUAGUUGAAAUUGGGUGAUGGAGCCACCAUAGGCCUCUAUGCUAACAUGGAGAGCGAGGGAUUUAUGACCUGUUACUUACAGUUUAACAGUGGUCUCUGUGCAGCAAUCAAAAGAUUUGAACAUUCUGGUGAAGAAUUUGCAGAUCCUGUUGAACAACUUCCUUUGGGACCUGACUUCACCAAAGCCUGUUUCUUCUUCAACUAUUUUAUUGCUUCUGGGCUAUCGCUGUAAUAAGGUUAGACUACGAAUUAUAGGAAUUAAUAAAAGGAAGGAAAAUAAAAGAUUAAAUAUGACUUAUUUACUAUAUAUAAGUAAUAAAGUC